UUCUCUGUUCUCUGUUCUCUGUUCUCUGUUCUCUGUUCUCUGUNNNNNNNNNNCUCUCUGUCUCUCUGUCUCUGUCUCUGUCUCUGUCUCUGUCUCUGUCUCUGUCUCUGUCUCUCUCUCUCUCUCUCUCUCUCUCAACAAGCCCUCAUUUUCAUGUAACCUAGACUGGUCUUGAGCCAACUUUGUUGCUAUGUAAUCAAAGAUUACCUUGAAUUUGAAAUCCUACUGCAUCUUCCGCCCAAGUUCUGAACUGCAGUGAUGGACCACUAUAUCAGGUUUUAAGGCAUAAUUUUUCUAAUUUUUAAACCUGGCCAUGCCUUUUUGCUUACUCUGUCAAGGCUAAUGCUACCUUUAUAUUUUCAGUACACCUCUACAAAAUAAUGAUUCUGCAAGUCCUUCUACAAUGCCAAUAUAAACAACUUCCAAAUUAGCCAUAUUAAGACUUUGUAAAUGUAGGUCCUCUGUUGUCUCAUGCCAUUGGACUUAGGUUGGCUGUAUUCUGUAUGUGUAGCUUUUUUUCUCUUUUACAUCUCCUUGAUUAACUCUUUGAUAGAUAUCCAUUGAAAGUCAGUCAUUUGUCAUUGUCUCUAACUAGCCUCCCUGUGUACUUGUUGAGUCUAAACAUCUACUUUUCCUUCUCAUUACACUCUGUACAUGAAUCAGUUCCCAUGGCAUCAUUACUAGCUUUUUCCCUGUCUGCAUUUUAAACUCUUCAUAGGACACGACUGUAUCUUUAAGAUUGAGGAUACAAUCUGAAGCAUUUGGUAAAGACAUUUUACCAAAGUGUUGCCUCUAGCCAUCAAUGCUGUACUUUUCCACCUUUGGCAUUAACAAGACGUCUUCUCCCACUUGAUAGAAUCCUGCUGAUCUCUCACUGCCACAGAAGCCAGAAAGCAGGAGAUUCUGGGUUGAAAAUCAGAGGCCACAUCUCAGGACUUAGAGGAAAGUGA
rnacentral:lncRNA from 1 species